rnacentral:misc_RNA from 1 species
GUGAAUCAUCGAAUUUUUGAACGCAAAUUGCACUCUCUUCUGAGAGUAGGCCUGUUUGAGGGUCAGUAUUAAUAAAAAUCGGUGUGUUGCUUCUUUGUGUCUCUCCGGGGUUUGGGUCAUCGUAAUAUCCUGUAGUUUUUAAGAGGCUUAAAAUUAACUUUUUUUGCGCUUUUUCGAUGUACAUAAAUUAUUUUUUUUAUUCGUCUGUUUUAAUGUUCAAAAUCCUACUAGAGGCGACCAU